rnacentral:rRNA from 1 species
UCCGAAUCUACCCUAUGGCGGGGGAUAACACCCGGAAACUUGUGCUAAUACCGCAUAAUGUCGAGAGACCCAAUCCGGGGACCGCAUUGCCUUGCACGAUAGGAUGAGCCGACCCCCCAUUAGCUCGUUGGUAGGGUAAAGGCCUACAUGGCCACCAUCGGUAGCUGGCCUGAGAGGAUGAUCAGCCCCACUGGGACUGAGACUCCGUCCCGACUCCUACUGGAGGCCCCAGUGGGGAAUAUUGUACAAUGGGCGCCAGCCUGAUCCAGCAAUGCCGCGUGUGUGAAUAAUGCCUGCGGGUUGUAAAGCACUUUUGU